UUUUGUCAGAUUGCCAAGGUCUUCAUAUCAAAAACAGCUCCAGGGUUUAUUAACUGAUCCUGGACACAUACAACAUCUUCUGACUUUUUGUGUUAGAUUGUCCAGAGACAGCUCUACAAGUUACGAAGGUAAAGCUAAUGUUUUUAUACUAAUCUGAACUCUUUAUUCUGUAUCUACAUGCCCUUCUCCAAAAGCUCAUGGAGAGCUCAAGGUCAGCUGUCUUGCCUGAGGCAGCACUGAAAACAAAUUGCUGCCAAGGCAGAGCUAGGACUCAGGAGCUCCUGACUUGCAAAGUUGUGCUCAGUCCUCUAACCAGGAAGACAGAAAAUAUUUCAGUAUUUUAAGAUCAUCUUUUGCAAAAGCAGGAAAGCAAAACAGAAUAAGGAGAAACCCCAACUCCAGAACAAGCCCUGUUACAAAGCUGUGAAAUUUGAUAGAGAAGAAAGGUUUUAAGGAUAUAAUCAGAUUGUGGUAAAGGUUCCCUUACAGAUAAAUAUUCUAGGUAGAAAUAAGUUGGAAAAGGAAAAAAAGAGAAGCGGGGGAAAAAAAAGAAUUCAGAAAUAUGUCAUUUUGUGAAAAUUUGGACUACGUAAGACUGAACACACUGACAUUUAGCCUGGAGAAGAGACUGAAGGGAGAUAUGGGAACAGUUUUUGGAGGCUAACACAAGAAGGGGAACAUCCUUCCCAAUCUGCCUUGGUGCAUAUGACAAGCAAAGGACAUUUUUUAUCUGCGGGCUCCUGUGAGUGUCUGUAGGACCUGAUGGAUGCAGCUGAAAUGAUGAUCCUGCUGUUACCCCCCUGUACCCCUGACUUCCGUGACUACCGGUCUGCGUUGGUGCUGUUGCCAUUUGCUCUCCACAAAACACAGACUGGCGUGAGGGGAGGCAGCUCCCCUGUCGCUGCGUGUCCGGGCUGCCCCGCGGGGGAAGGCAGAGCGCUGCCACGAGGGUCGCCAGCCCCCGGGCAGCAGCAGCAGCUCAGGACCUACCCCAAGCACCGCCGGGCAACCUGAGCUGAGUCCCUCUGUUACGGCUGCCCCGUUGCCCUGUCCCAUUAAUUCUUUCUCUGUUCCGGACACAGAGUACCAGAAGAAAAGAACAAGCCCAGUGUUGCAGUUUUAAAAUAGUGAAAAAAGAUCUAGUAAAGUGAAACCUUGUGGCAGCAAAAUUCUGGCAGAAAGAGCAUUCUGCUCAGAAGGACAUUGUCCUUGGCAGGAUUUAGAAAGGCAAAUUGCCUCUGACAAAUUUCUCCACAUCCUUGAGGGCUUGGCAGCAGCCACCUGGCCCCACAGGGACCUCCUUCCCUCACACUUUCCCAGCUCAUUAGGUUUCCUUUCUUCUUUUCAGGACCCGGAGAGCAAUCCUCAUGAGCAGGGCCUUAAAAACCCCCCAGGAGCAAAGCAAAUGGGUUAUUUGUACAUGGCCGGGCUGUGGGAUUGAGUAUCACUUACGCAGGCGGCCUGUGCCGGCUUUGAUGCACCUUCACUGAUGGACAGAAAGACAAGGAGAAUCCAACAGAUGGUGUGAACACACAGGGUUUGAUUCUCCAUUGUGCACCUUGUAAAGCCACUCAAAAGUCAGGAAAGAGAAGAGAAAAACACUACUGUGAUGCAAAUGAAAAAUGCCCACUUCUUUUGAAUAGAUACCAAUGGCACAAUCAGGAAUAAAACAGUAGAAAUGAUGGAGCUUUACCUCCAUAAUACUCAAAGAAAAGCAAAUGGAGAUACUGGCUUUGCUGCCAUUUGUCUUAAAUGGCUAGAUACAAAUUGUGGUCAUGAGAAUGGGUUGUUUUAUGCCCAUAUUUUAUAGUGCAAAAGUCUGUACAGGUAUUGGGUAGUGAAGAAUUAGGCACAGCCCAUUUCUCUCUCCUCACAAAGGCCUUUUCAUGCUGCCUUGGCAGUAGUGGCUACCAAAAAUAGUACUGGCACAAAGAGCAGCCAGCUGGCACACGCAGGGAGGGCAUGGCCAGGUCAAACGAGCCUUGAACGAGCCCGUGCGCUGGGCAGCCCUGGCUGCUGGCACAGACCACCGCCAGCAGCCAGGGCUGGGAAUUCGUCAGUGAAGCUGAAGGCCUGGGGUAGAGCCAAAAACCAGAACUUUGUCAAGAAUGAUAUCAGUUAUAGGUAGUAUAUAAUCAUCUUUGAAAGCUUCUAAAUGGAAACAUUUCCCAUUUUCUCAGGUAAAUUUCUCAAUUUUGCUUAAUUUUGUGCUUUGACACCUGCAUGGUGAAGCUCGCUACUGUCUCCAUCAUUUUGUGCUGUUGACUUUUUAUCCCAAUACAGACGAGAAAUUUUGGAAAGCUCACAAUCCUUUGCAGAGAUUUUCGCACCCAGCCCCAGUGGUGAGAUUUUGCAAAGCAGAAGAUCCGCAAGCUGGGUUUAAAGUCGUCUGUGCUUCCCACUGCAUUUCUGCAUGCUGGUUGGGCUGUUAGCUUUGCCUUUCAUGGUUUCUGCCUGGCUUCCCUCACUUUGAAGGAUCUUCAAACACCUGCCUACUUGGCAUCCCUGCUUGAUAUCUACUUUAUCGAAGCUUUGUGAAAUUACAGGCUGCCUAAGAUUCAGCCUGCUGCUCUUCCUUCAUCCCUUCCACAUAAAAGAUGACUUUCCUGGCAUAGAUUUACUAAUAGCAGUUGGCUGCACUGGAAAUGGCCACUUAAUCCAGCAAGUCUGUUCCCUUUAAAUUGAUCUCAGCCUCAUCUCUUUGCUUGGUCAGUCUGUUCCUCCCUCCUCUUCUCCCUAUAAAAAUGGCACUACCUCUUGAUUCAUUUCUAGCACUUGGUGCAUUAGUGCCUUACUCAGCAACUUCCCCCCCAGAUUUAUUGCUCUCUGUGAAACAGGAAUGACAUUAAGGCACUGUUUAUUCCUUCUCUGCAUGACGGCUAAYGGCCUAUGUUUCAACUCUGCAGCAAUCCAAAUACACUAUCGGUUCCCACGUUUUACAAGAGGGGCACUUUCCAGGAGGAACCCCAGUGAAAUCAGUGGAAAGGACGACUUUCUGGCAAGGCUUUCAGCAGCAGAAAAUGGCAGCAGCAUGAAGAGAGUGAAAGAGUGAGCAGCAAAGAGGAGGAAAAAUCCUGGAGGACUGAGUUUAGAACCCAAGGCAGAAAGAGGCUGCAUUUAAACAUCAGAAAAAAAAAAAAAAAAAAGGAAAAAAAAAAUCAAGGACUUGCUUGGAAAACAUUCCAAACACUUGUUUGACACUUGUUUAAAAAAUACAACAAAAUCUCAAGGGAUACAGACAUCUCCAUAUGGAUGUCUGAGACUUUAUCAGAUAGAUAAAGCAGCCUUGCUGUCAGCCAACAAGAAAAAAGGAGGAAUGACUGCUUUUCUUAGAAGUGUUGUAUAGACAUUCAGCAUACCUGCAUAGCAUACACAGUCAUAGACUGUAAUAUUUUUAAGUAUGGAAAUCUCCAGGAAAACUAUUGUCGAUACUCGUUUUUUUAAAAAAAGGUUUAGUAAACAAAUAUCCUUCAGGCGUGGGCUCUUGAACGGCAGCUCCUUUGCAGCUCCGUGGUUGCUGAGCUCCUUUAAAAUUCUGUGAAUUUUUGGCUUUUGAAGCCAAAGCCAAGACUGAGAGCUUCCUUUCUGCAGACUGAAGAGAUGGUUCCCUAUGCUACGAAGGAGCACAUGUGCUAAGCGCAGCAGGAUCCGGGGCAUCAUCGCCUCCACAAGCAUCUGCUGCUGGUGCCUUCAAGACAGGGGCAAUGCAGGCUGGAGAGUACUGUGCCUUGCUCCCCCUUCCCUUGAUGCCUCCUCAGCACUUUGGUUGUAGCUCCUUAGGAACAGAAUCCCCCGCACUGCUUAGAUCGGUCACAAUCUCUCCAAGAUUUGUGCUACAGCAGGAAAAGACAAAACUUUAUUGAGUUCAGAGUCGGUUCAUUGUCUUAAAGGUACGACAUGUGAAGUUGCAGAAAAGAACAAAAGCUUAUGUUUUUUUCUUCUAAAAAAAGGUAGUUUGGCUAACUGCAAACAGCUGAGCAAACAGAUUUUUCAACCAAUACCAUGUGUAUUUACUUAUAGACUAACCUUUCUCUGUACAAUUUACAGCUCUUUUUUU